GACAUAGUUUCUCUGUCUAACCAAGGAUGUCUUAGUUUUAACUAAAUUUGGAUGCAUCUAUACACUAAGUCAUGUCUAGAUACAUCUAAAUUUUAACAAAUUUGAGACAUCUUUUGUUGUACGGAGGGAGUAGUAC
rfam:Brachypodium distachyon strain Bd21 chromosome 2, whole genome shotgun sequence.